UGAGUUUGAUCCUGGCUCAGAUUGAACGCUGGCGGAAUGCUUUACACAUGCAAGUCGAACGGCAGCACGGGAGCUUGCUCCUGGUGGCGAGUGGCGAACGGGUGAGUAAUGCGUCGGAACGUGCCGAGUAAUGGGGGAUAACGCAGCGAAAGUUGUGCUAAUACCGCAUACGCCCUGAGGGGGAAAGUGGGGGAUCGCAAGACCUCACGUUAUUCGAGCGGCCGACGUCUGAUUAGCUAGUUGGUGGGGUAAAGGCCUACCAAGGCGACGAUCAGUAGCGGGUCUGAGAGGAUGAUCCGCCACACUGGGACUGAGACACGGCCCAGACUCCUACGGGAGGCAGCAGUGGGGAAUUUUGGACAAUGGGGGCAACCCUGAUCCAGCCAUUCCGCGUGAGUGAAGAAGGCCUUCGGGUUGUAAAGCUCUUUCAGCUGGAGUGAAACGGUGCGCUCUAACAUAGCGUGCUAAUGACGGUACCAGCAGAAGAAGCACCGGCUAACUACGUGCCAGCAGCCGCGGUAAUACGUAGGGUGCGAGCGUUAAUCGGAAUUACUGGGCGUAAAGCGUGCGCAGGCGGAUUGUUAAGCAAGAUGUGAAAUCCCCGGGCUUAACCUGGGAAUGGCAUUUUGAACUGGCAGUCUAGAGUGCGUCAGAGGGGGGUGGAAUUCCACGUGUAGCAGUGAAAUGCGUAGAGAUCGGGAGGAANCACCAGUGGCGAAGGCGGGCCAUCUGGAUCAACCACUGACGCNUGAGGNCACGAAAGCGUGGGGAAGCAAACAGGAUUAGAUACCCUGGUAGUCCACGCCCUAAACGAUGCGAAACUGGACGUUGGUUGCAACUUGGCAAUCAGUGUCGAAGCUUAACGCGUUAAGUUCGCCGCNUUGGGGAGUACGGUCGCAAGACUGAAACUCAAAGGAAUUGACGGGGGCCCGCACAAGCGGUGGAGUAUGUGGUUUAAUUCGAUGCAACGCGCAGAACCUUACCUGGCCUUGACAUGUCGCGAACUUUCCAGAGAUGGAUUGGUGCCUUCGGGAACGCGAACACAGGUGCUGCAUGGCUGUCGUCAGCUCGUGUCGUGAGAUGUUGGGUUAAGUCCCGCAACGAGCGCAACCCUUGUCCUUAGUUGCCAGCACGUAAAGGUGGGAACUCUAAGGAGACUGCCGGUGACAAACCGGAGGAAGGUGGGGAUGACGUCAAGUCAUCAUGGCCCUUACGGCCAGGGCUACACACGUACUACAAUGGUCGGUACAGAGGGUUGCAAUACCGCGAGGUGGAGCCAAUCCCAGAAAACCGAUCCCAGUCCGGAUCGGAGUCUGCAACUCGACUCCGUGAAGUCGGAAUCGCUAGUAAUCGCGGAUCAGCUAUGCCGCGGUGAAUACGUUCCCGGGCCUUGUACACACCGCCCGUCACACCAUGGGAGUUGGUUGCUCCAGAAGUAGGUAGUCUAACCGCAAGGNGGACGNUUACCACGGAAGUGGUCAAUGANCUGGGGUGAAGUCGUAANCAAGGUANC
rnacentral:rRNA from 1 species